AGAGUGAACGCUGGCGGUAGGCCUAACACAUGCAAGUCGAACGGCAGCACAGGAGAGCUUGCUCUCUGGGUGGCGAGUGGCGGACGGGUGAGGAAUACAUCGGAAUCUACCUUUUCGUGGGGGAUAACGUAGGGAAACUUACGCUAAUACCGCAUAAGACCUUCGGGUGAAAGCCCGGGGACCUUCGGGCCUGGCGCGGAUAGAUGAGCCGAUGUCCGAUUAGCUAGUUGGCGGGGUAAUCGGCCCACCAAGGCGACGAGUCGGUAGCUGGUCUGAGAGGAUGAUCAGCCACACUGGAACUG
rnacentral:rRNA from 1 species